rnacentral:rRNA from 1 species
CGCGAAACCUUUACACUGCACGACAGUGCGAUAGGGGGACUCCGAGUGCGAGGGCAUAGAGCCCUCGCUUUUCUGUACCGUAAGGUGGUACAGGAAGAAGGGCUGGGCAAGACCGGUGCCAGCCGCCGCGGUAAUACCGGCAGCCCAAGUGAUGGCCGAUAUUAUUGGGCCUAAAGCGUCCGUAGCUGGCCGGACAAGUCCGUUGGGAAAUCCGCACGCUUAACGUGCGGGCGUCCAGCGGAAACUGUCCGGCUUGGGACCGGAAGACCCGAGGGGUACGUCCGGGGUAGGAGUGAAAUCCUGUAAUCUCGGACGGACCACCUGUGGCGAAAGCGCCUCGGGAAGACGGAUCCGACAGUGAGGGACGAAAGCCAGGGUCUCGAACCGGAUUAGAUACCCGGGUAGUCCUGGCCGUAAACGAUGUCCGCUAGGUGUGACGCAGGCUACGAGCCUGCGCUGUGCCGUAGGGAAGCCGUGAAGCGGACCGCCUGGGAAGUACGUCUGCAAGGAUGAAACUUAAAGGAAUUGGSGGGGGAGCACUACAACC